rnacentral:rRNA from 1 species
UACGUAGGGUGCGAGCGUUAAUCGGAUUUACUGGGCGUAAAGCGUGCGCAGGCGGCCCGUUAAGACAGGUGUGAAAUCCCUGGGCUCAACCUAGGAAUUGCGCUUGUGACUGGCGGGCUCGAGUACGGUAGAGGGUGGUGGAAUUCCUGGUGUAGCAGUGAAAUGCGUAGAGAUCAGGAGGAACACCGAUGGCGAAGGCAGCCCCCUGGGCCUGUACUGACGCUCAUGCACGAAAGCGUGGGGAGCAAACAGG